GUUCCCAUUCCGAACACGGCAGUUAAGCCCCUCAGCGCCGAUGGUACUUGUCGGGAGACCGGCUGGGAGAGUAGGUCGUUGCCAGGA
rnacentral:rRNA from 1 species